UCCUGCCUCAGCCUCCCCGAGUAGCUGGGAUUACAGGCGACUGCCGCCACCACGCCCGGCUAAUUUUUUAAGUAUUUUUAGUAGAGACGGGUUUCACCGCGUUAGCCAGCAUGGUCUUGAUCUCCUGACCUCGUGAUCUGCCCUCCUCGGCCUCCCAAAGUGCUGGGAUUACAGGCGUGAGCCACCGCGCCCGGCCGACCCCUGUAGGGUUUUAAAGGAGAGAGGCAGCAUCCCAGAGGGCAAAAAGGGCUUCAUUCAUGGAGAAAGCAACUGAGCUGGGCAGAGCACAGACGGAAUUUGAAUUGGAGGCCAGAGGCAAAGGGAACUCCAAGUGGAAGAAGAAACGGCAUGAAAAAAGGGAUUGAGAAGGAAAAGGACAAGAUGGUUUGGAGAGAGAGCAACUUCAGCCUGGAAAAGCAGAAAUGAGAUGCGGCCAAGAAAAAGACUCCAGCCCAGCCUGCCUUGGUUCUAACCCUGACUGUUACUUAACCUCUUUCUGGCUCAGUCAAGAAACUUGAGCACUGCAAGAUGAUCAUGUGGAAUACCUACUUCAAACGGAUGUUAAGAGGAAAGAUUCAGGCUUUAGCGAUGACUGGAGGGUCAUUCGCUGGAAAGAAUUUCAUCAGUUGGAACUAAAUCAUGAUGAAUGAAAUACAAGUACAACAAGAAAAAGUUUCUGUAAAAACUAAGGUGAUUGCUUUAGAAUAACUCCAUAAAGGUCAUUCUGAAAAACAAUUGCUGCAACUCUAAAAGAUGGGGAAAUCUAGAAGCAUUCUGCACUUUGAUCAUGCACUGGGGCUGCAGUUUGUGCUUGAAGGAUUACCAAGAACUCCAAUUGUAGUGCCUCACUUUGGAGUCGGCUGAGAAGAUCAUUCCAGACGGGAGUUUUGACACUGUACAAAUGCACUGUCUUCACAUCUACGCUGACACCCCUGCCUUUCUACCUGCAGGUGUCUGUGGCUUACAAGCUGGUGCCUCCCACAGACCCUGUAGUUUGGAGCUAAUGAAGAGCUGAGAAGGUAGGUUUGGCUGUGACUAGAGAGCAGGAACAACCUCUCCACAGGUCAUUCCUUUCUCCAGGCAUGGAACCGUCUUACAAACCUGGGCUGAGGGUUCAUUGCCUCUAAAUGUAGAAGCAAAGACUAAAUUCAAAAGGCAAGAACUACUUAAUGAAAACAGAAACUCCACUACAUACGUGUUUCUUCUGCCUAUCCCAUGGAGUCAGAGAGGUGGUGGAUCUAGCAGAGACAGCUGUAGACCAGGGGUCAGAAGACUUGGGUCCUCAUCCUGAUUCUACCACUAACUAGCUGCAUGACCUCAGACAAGUGACUUGUCUGCCCUAGACCAGGCAGGGUUGGACAGUUAGCCCCAAAGUCCCUUCUAAUGCUAAAAUUCUAAGAUUGUACCCUGCCAGCCUUAGGAGGCUAUGCUGUUACUACCAGUGCCUGGCACAUAGCAGGCACUAUAUAAAUGUUAAUUAUCAUUAUUAUUAUGUAAAGGCACAAUGCAUGCCUUUAUAUGUAAACGUGGAUUCUUCCCCAUUAUAACAAUGAAUGAUCUAGAAGCAAAUUAUAACAACAGGGUAUAAUCAUAAGCAAUGAAGACUGUAAUUCCUACCGGUCUUCUUCUCAGCACAAAUGAAUAAAGCUUUUCCCCCCUCCCCCUCCAGUAAUUGUUGGAGGUGGUUCUUGGAUCCAAAUCCCAAGCCCUUCCAGAAUAUCUGCAAUUGGAGAACGGGUCAUUCAAUCAAAAGACUGUAGACUGUACUGUGAUGUAAAUUUUUUUCUUCCCCACUGAAAAUCCCAGGCCAGGCAUGGUGGCUAACACUUAUAAUCCCAGCACUUUGGGAGGCCUAGGUGGGCAGAUCACUUGAGCUCUGAGCAAUACAAUGAGACCUCGUCUCUACUAAAAAUUCAAAAACAAUUAGCCUGGUGUGGUGGCACAUGCCUGUAGUCCCAGCUAUUCAGGGGGCUGGGGGCUGAGGUGGGAGGAUCACUUGAGUCUGAGAGGCCAAGGCUGCAGUGAGCCCUGAUUGCACCACUGAACUCCAGCCUGGGUGACAGAAGAAGACCUUGUCUCAGAAAAAAACAAACAAGCAAACAAACAAAAAACUCAAUGCAGGUUGGGAAUGAGAACUGGGAUUCAGGAUUUGGAGUUUCCUAAUAUAUUUUGCCUUCUUCCCAUGAUAUAUACAGUGUAUAAACCUAGUAUGAGGAAGGAACAGUUGUCUAUCAAAAUGGUAAAUGGCAUUCAGUCUUAAGUUUCUAAAUAAAGUUAGCAAUUAUGGGUAUGGCCAAAUGUGGGUGCUUGCCAUAACCUCUGGGGCCUCACCAUUUCCAGCUACCAGGAUCUGCAACUUUUUGCCUGAGGGUUUUCUCAGAAGACACAGAAACUGUUCUGCCUAUAAGCCUUGAAGUGCCAGGGAAUUAACACCUACCUUCCCACAGCCCUCCCCACAGUGACUGAUAGCAUUGAUAACGAUACCCAAGCUUCACCCCUCAGGUGGGAUAACUGAGCUGCUUGUUCUAUACCAUGUUCUAGAGUUUCUCCCAUGAGUUUAGGUUCUAAUCAUCCACAUGUAAAUUGCUUGAUAAGAAACCUUCAUUGACUCCUUGUCUCACUUCCCCUCCCCUUAUUUGUUUUGUUUGCACCUUUCAAAUAAACUAUUUUCAUUCAAAUC
rnacentral:lncRNA from 1 species